rnacentral:piRNA from 1 species
UGACAUGGUGGAUAGAUGGUAGGCCACAGG